rnacentral:rRNA from 1 species
UACGGGGGGGGCAAGCGUUGUUCGGAAUUACUGGGCGUAAAGGGCUCGUAGGCGGCCAACUAAGUCAGACGUGAAAUCCCUCGGCUUAACUGGGGAACUGCGUCUGAUACUGGAUGGCUUGAGAUUGGGAGAGGGAUGCGGAAUUCCAGGUGUAGCGGUGAAAUGCGUAGAUAUCUGGAGGAACACCGGUGGCGAAGGCGGCAUCCUGGACCAACACUGACGCUGAGGAGCGAAAGCCAGGGGAGCAAACGGG